ACKGCUCAGUAACACGUGGCUAACCUACCCUCGAGACAGGGACAACCCCGGGAAACUGGGGCUAAUCCCAGAUAGAUGAAGACCCCUGGAACGGGUCCUCGUCCAAAAGGCACCAUGGUUAUGCUCUGUGGUGUCGCUCAAGGAUGGGGCCGCGUCCGAUCAGGCUGUUGGUGAGGCAAUGGCUCACCAAACCUAUAACCGGUACGGGCCGUGGGAGCGGGAGCCCGGAGAUGGGAACUGAGACAAGGUCCCAGGCCCUACGGGGCGCAGCAGUUACGAAAACUUGUCAAUGCACGAAAGUGUGAACGGGCUACCCCGAGUGCCGUCCGCUGAGGAUGGCUUUUCUCUGCUUUAAGAAGGCAGAGGAAUAAGGCGAGGGCAAGUCUGGUGUCAGCCGCCGCGGUGAUACCAGCUCGCCGAGUGGUAGGGAUGAUUAUUGGGCCUGAAGCGUCCGUAGCUGGCCUUUCAAGUCUCUUGUUAAAUCCAGCGAUUCAAUCGUUGGACUGCAGGAGGUACUGCAAGGCUAGGAGGCGAGAGAAGCCGACGGUAUUUUCGGGGUAGGGGUAAAAUCCUAUAAUCCCGAGAAGACCACCAGUGGCGAAGGCGGUCGGCUAGCGCGCGCUCGACAGUGAGGGACGAAAGCUGGGGGAGCGAACCGGAUUAGAUACCCGGGUAGUCCCAGCUGUAAACGAUGCUGGCUAGGUGUUGAAGCGGCCACGAGCCGCUUCAGUGCCGCAGGAAAGCCAUUAAGCCAGCCGCCUGGGGAGUACGGCCGCAAGGCUGAAACUUAAAGGAAUUGGCGGGGGAGCAC
rnacentral:rRNA from 1 species